UACGGAGGAUCCAAGCGUUAUCCGGAAUCAUUGGGUUUAAAGGGUCCGUAGGCGGUUAGAUAAGUCAGUGGUGAAAUCCGGCAGCUUGACUGUCGAACUGCCAUUGAUACUGUUUAACUUGAAUUACUGUGAAGUAACUAGAAUAUGUAGUGUAGCGGUGAAAUGCUUAGAUAUUACAUGGAAUACCAAUUGCGAAGGCAGGUUACUAAUGGUUUAUUGACGCUGAUGGACGAAAGCGUGGGGAGCGAACAGGAUUAGAUACCCUGGUAGUCCACGCUGUAAACGAUGGAUACUAGCUGUUGGGAGUAAUUUCAGUGGCUAAGCGAAAGUGAUAAGUAUCCCACCUGGGGAGUACGAACGCAAGUUUGAA
rnacentral:rRNA from 1 species